AUGCAUCUGACAGCCCUGGAGCAGUUACGUCUGCUGCUAAGGUUUCCACGAUAGACGCAAGAAAAAGAAGUCCUCGGGCUUUCUGUCUGAUUGUGGCAGCCAAGACUGAAUGGGGGAAGACAGGA
rnacentral:snoRNA from 1 species